CUACACAACUGGGGCGCUAGCGGUGCCUUUAACCCUUAAAUCCGCUACAUGAAGGAGUUAUGACCUGCCUAAGGUUUUGAUAUGCUCUGCCCGCAAUUUAUUUAGCAAGCCAUGAUAGCAUGGUUUCGUACAAUAAACUGUUUGUGAACCUUGUCAGAGCGGGAACGCAGCAGCAAUAAGCAAAUUUUGUUUAUGUGUGCGAAGGCACUAUGCUUAGCAAGCUAUUUUUAUUGCACAAAGCAUCGCGUUAUCGAGGGUGGGUCGUGUGG
rnacentral:SRP_RNA from 1 species